GACGAACGCUGGCGGCGUGCUUAACACAUGCAAGUCGAACGAUGAAGGAGAGCAUGCUCCCCGGAUUAGUGGCGAACGGGUGAGUAACACGUGACUAACCUGCCCCUUUCUCUGGGAUAACGCUCCGAAAGGAGUGCUAAUACCGGAUACGAACUCUGAACACAUGUUCGGAGUUGGAAAGUUUUUCGGAAAGGGAUGGAGUCGCGGCCUAUCAGCUUGUUGGUGAGGUAAUGGCUCACCAAGGCGACGACGGGUAGCCGGCCUGAGAGGGCGACCGGCCACACUGGGACUGAGACACGGCCCAGACUCCUACGGGAGGCAGCAGUGGGGAAUAUUGCACAAUGGGCGAAAGCCUGAUGCAGCGACGCCGCGUGAGGGAUGAAGGUCUUCGGAUUGUAAACCUCUUUCAGUAGGGACGAAGCGAAAGUGACGGUACCUAAAGAAGAAGCACCGGCUAACUGCGUGCCAGCCGCCGCCGUAA
rnacentral:rRNA from 1 species